ACGAACGCUGGCGGCGUGCUUAACACAUGCAAGUCGAACGGUGAAGCCCUUCGGGGUGGAUCAGUGGCGAACGGGUGAGUAACACGUGGGCAAUCUGCCCUGCACUCUGGGACAAGCCCUGGAAACGGGGUCUAAUACCGGAUAUGACCUGGGACCGCAUGGUCCUGGGUGUAAAGCUCCGGCGGUGCAGGAUGRGCCCGCGGCCUAUCAGCUUGUUGGUGGGGUAAUGGCCUACCAAGGCGACGACGGGUAGCCGGCCUGAGAGGGCGACCGGCCACACUGGGACUGAGACACGGCCCAGACUCCUACGGGAGGCAGCAGUGGGGAAUAUUGCACAAUGGGCGAAAGCCUGAUGCAGCGACGCCGCGUGAGGGAUGACGGCCUUCGGGUUGUAAACCUCUUUCAGCAGGGAAGAAGCGCAAGUGACGGUACCUGCAGAAGAAGCACCGGCUAACUACGUGCCAGCAGCCGCGGUAAUACGUAGGGUGCGAGCGUUGUCCGGAAUUAUUGGGCGUAAAGAGCUCGUAGGCGGCCUGUCGCGUCGGAUGUGAAAGCCCGGGGCUUAACCCCGGGUCUGCAUUCGAUACGGGCAGGCUAGAGUGUGGUAGGGGAGAUCGGAAUUCCUGGUGUAGCGGUGAAAUGCGCAGAUAUCAGGAGGAACACCGGUGGCGAAGGCGGAUCUCUGGGCCAUUACUGACGC
rnacentral:rRNA from 1 species